GUUUGAUCCUGGCUCAGAAUCAACGCUGGCGGCGCGCCUAACACAUGCAAGUCGAACGAGAAAGCAGGAGCAAUCCUGUGAGUAAAGUGGCGUACGGGUGAGUAACACGUGGAUUAUCUACCUUCUAGUGGGGGAUAACCCUGGGAAACCGGGGCUAAUACCGCAUAAGUUCGAGAGAAGAAAGCAGCAAUGCGCUGGAAGAGGAGUCCGCGGCCGAUUAGCUAGUUGGUAGGGUAAAAGCCUACCAAGGCUACGAUCGGUAGCCGGCCUGAGAGGGCACACGGCCACACUGGCACUGAAACACGGGCCAGACUCCUACGGGAGGCAGCAGUGGGGAAUCUUGCACAAUGGGGGAAACCCUGAUGCAGCGACGCCGCGUGAGCGAUGAAGCCCUUCGGGGUGUAAA
rnacentral:rRNA from 1 species